UUUUUGACUUGUAGAAAGACUCAAGUAUCUGAGCAAAGAGAAAUGCCUCUUUUAUGAAGUCCAACAAAUCUGAAAAGGCUACAUUACUCUAAUUGUGAAUGCAUUUAAACAAGUAUAACCGAAUGGUGAAAUUCAACUUAGAAAAAUUCUGACACCACAGGUACAAGUCUUGUUUCCCUUCUUCAAUUAAUUUAAAGAAUUACUUUGCAUCUUUACAUG
rnacentral:misc_RNA from 1 species